ensembl:lncRNA
CUACAGGCUUGAAAUUAAUUCAGAAAAAAAGCGAGUGAGAAGGAGGGAUGAGGAGGUGGAGCGGUGGUGGUGAAUGCAUCGCUAUCCUUGGAGCCUGCACGCGCGCGUGCACACAUCAUCGGGAGCGUCGCUGGGCUUGCGUGCGCGUCCUCGAGAAAUAAAGAAAGGAUCAGGAAGAAGGUGAGAGAGAGAGAGAGAGAGAGAGGCAUGGCCAGAUAUCACAGCGACAAAAGAGAGAGACAGUGGUAGAGAGACCUUUUGAGAGAGAGAGAGUGAGAGUGAGGGAAGAAGGCUGCAGACUUUCAGACCUGAGAGGAAGAGGAGAGGAGGAAGAAGAGAUAGAGGAGUCUCCAUCUUCGCCAUUUCAAUCAUUAAAGCUUCACACAUUGACCGCAUCCACUCAUCAUCCUGUCAGUCACUCAGCCCCGCCCCGCUGCUCUUUGCCACAGAGGUGAAUGAUGGGAGGUGGAGGAGUCGUUAGCGGCCA